rnacentral:rRNA from 1 species
UGCAGAAGGAUCAUUAUUUAAUCUAAAUGAGUGCACUUAAUUGUGGCUCAAACUUUACACUUUUCACCCCAAAACUUGUUUGUGUGGCAUUUAUGCCAUUGCACUCAGGUAUACGUAACAUUUCUUUGUUACAUUAUCCCCCUCCCAAUUUUUUUUUUUUUAUAAACACAAGUUGAAUGUAAGAAUGUAAAACCUUUUAUUUGAAAAAUAACUUUUAACAAUGGAUCUCUAGGCUCUCAUAUCGAUGAAGAACACAGUGAAAUGUGAUAAGUAAUGUGAAUUGCAGAAUUCAGUGAAUCAUUGAAUCUUUGAACGCACCUUGCACCUUUUGGUAUUCCAAAAGGUACACCUGUUUGAGUGUCAUGAAAAUCUCUCAUCAAAUUUAUUUUUGGUGGAUGUUGAGUGCUGCUGUUAUCUAGCUCACUUUAAAUAUAUAAGUUCUUCCUUAUGUUGUUGGAUUGACUUGGUGUAAUAUUUAACUUUGUUUUCAUCAAGGAAAGUAGCAAUACUUGCCAAUAUAUUAAGUAAGGACUCCUAAAAAACAACUAUUUCAUUUUUUAAGACCUCAAAUCAGGUGGGACUACCUGCUGAACUUAAGCAUAUCAAUAAGCAGAGGAAAA